rnacentral:rRNA from 1 species
GGUGAACGCUGGCGGUAUGCCUAAGACAUGCAAGUCGCACGGACUGUUUUUGCAGUUAGUGGCGGACGGGUGAGCAACACGUAGGUGACCUACCCCAAAGUCUGGGACAACUAGGAGAAAUCUUAGCUAAUCCGGGAUGUGAACCUCGGUUUUGACCGAUGUUUAAAGAUUGGGCGCUUUGGGAUGGGCCUGCGGCGCAUCAGGUAGUUGGUGGGGUAAUGGCCUACCAAGCCGACGACGCGUAGCUGGUCUGAGAGGACGAUCAGCCACAGGGGUACUGAGACACGGACCCCACUCCUACGGGAGGCAGCAGUUAGGAAUCUUCCGCAAUGGGCGAAAGCCUGACGGAGCGAUACCGCUUGAAGGACGAAGCCUUUCGGGGUGUAAACUUCUGAACUCGGGACGAUAAUGACGGUACCGAGGUAAUAGCACCGGCUAACUCCGUGCCAGCAGCCGCGGUAAUACGGAGGGUGCGAGCGUUACCCGGAUUUACUGGGUGUAAAGGGCGUGUAGGCGGUCUUUCAAGUCCGAUGCUAAAGACCGAAGCUCAACUUCGGGGGUGCGUUGGAUACUGUGAGGCUAGACGGUCGGAGAGGGUAGCGGAAUUUCCGGA